rnacentral:rRNA from 1 species
UACGUAGGAUGCGAGCGUUAAUCGGAAUUACUGGGCGUAAAGCGUGCGCAGGCGGUUUUGUAAGCCAGAUGUGAAAUCCCCGGGCUUAACCUGGGAAUGGCAUUUGGGACUGCAAAGCUUGAGUGCGGCAGAGGGGACUGGAAUUCCUGGUGUAGCAGUGAAAUGCGUAGAGAUCAGGAGGAAUACCGAUGGCGAAGGCAGGUCCCUGGGCUGACACUGACGCUCAUGCACGAAAGCGUGGGAGCAAACAGG